GUAAUAGGAAAAUCUAUAAAUUUUUUUAUUAUUUAUAUUGGUUUUUGUUUAAUAAUUUUCUUUAAAAGAAACCAACUUAAGCAUUGUUUCGAUAUCAUAUAUGAGCCUGACUUAAUCUGUAAAUAUUUUACUCAAACCCAAUUAGACAUCUCCUUCUCCUACUUCUUUUGCAUUUUGAAUUUAGCCCCUCUUAUAACACUAAAAUAACAUUAACAGGUAAAGACUGUGUAAAGAGGUAAGCAUACUAUGCCCACUUUCAACUUGAUUUUGUAAAUAUUUCCAUCAAAUAAUUUAUGCGUCUUUAUAAUAGUGUCAUAAUUAAAAAUGUGUGUCCACUUCUGCAGAUUCUCAUGUGGUGUGCUGAUAAUUCUGGGAAAUACUCGGUACUAAGUCGGUAUAAACUGAUGAAAAAGUGAAAUUUAGUUUUGUGUAUUAUUCUUUAUAUCCAAAAGAUGAUCUCAUUCAAAAAGAUGCACUAAUACAUUAUAGGUAAUCAGUAUCAGAAAUGUUACCACUGUAAUCUUUGGGUACUAAAAUCAUGAGAAAAAAUCGAAUAUUAAACGAUAUAUUAGUGUAAUGGGCCAAUUUAACCCGGGCCCGUAUAAGCACAAAACCAAAAUAAAUAAAAAUACAUUAACAGUCCAAUAAAAGUCCAUUUAAUUAAUGUCCUAUUACAAGCCCAAAACAGUCCCUCUAGCCCAAAUCUAGUGGCCCAAUACCCAAUUAACCCAAGUGGCCCAAGGUUUGAAAACAGGGCAGAACCCUAGCAGCAAGGAACGCCGCAGCCCUAGCCUCCAGCACGCCUCCGUACGACCCCCUGUGCACCUCCGUACAGCCUUGACGCACCACCCGUACCCGAGCGCCAGCACACUCGCACCUGCAAGGAGACAAACAAGCAACAACAGCAAAGAAACACCAAAAAGAAAAAACAUUGUAUUUUUUGUUUUUUCGUUAAUUUUUCCUCUUUCCUUUCGGCUAUAAAGCCAGAGUUUGAGUCUUUGUAAAAGGUUACGUGGAGAGAGAAUACACGUACAAUACAGAUACACAUUUUCGCAUAUUGAAUACAAAAGAAACACCAAAAAGAAAAGGUGAUUUCUGUUCCUAAGUUUCUGGGUUUAUUACACUUUAUUCUUGUCCAUUCCCGUUGAUUUUCUUUCUUUUUAGUAUCUAAAUAAAAAGAAAAAGGAAACGAAACCUUACCUUGAAAAUAGGCCAUCGAUCCUCCCCUGCUUCGUCGAAAUCGAAGUUAAAGGGAGAGGAUUUUGAGGCCAAAGAACGACUUGCCGAGGCCAGAAGCACGAAACGCCUUCUCGAUGGCGGUUUGGGUGUUCGAAACGGGGCUUUAGGUUUCGGCCAGAUGAAGAGGGCAGCAAAGAAAGGAAGGAGGAGGCUAGGGUUUUGAAAUGGCUGAAUAGCCAAAUUUGGGGCUUUUUUUAAAGGUCUGAAUACGAUGCCGUUUCAAGCCAGUAACCAAUGGCAUUGAAACGGUGUCGUAUCUAUCCUCCGACCCGACCCGAUCCGGUGUACUACCCCGAUGACCCGCGUGUUUUUGCGGUGAGGGAUUAUUUACAAUAUUAGUCCCUCCCUUUCGCACCAUGUGCAAAUCGGUUUAUAUUCACAUUCCUUUUUUCUUAAAUUUCCCCUACAAUUUGCGCGCACUUGCAGAUAAAGCCCCUGCGCAUUGGCGCGCAUCGUGCAGUGGUCCCUUCCUUCAUUUUUUUGUUUUCAAAUUUUCCCCUUUAUUUUGGAUCUUUUUUAUUAAGUCCUUUUAGUGUAUUUUUAAUUCAUUAUAUUCUAAUAUCUUUUCCUUUUUUAAUGACUUUAGAUGAUUGUUUUUUUUAUUCUCGUAAAUUCAUUUCUGUAGCAUUAACAUUACACUUUGAAUACUUCAAAUUUUCAUCUCAUUCGCAUUAUUAUACAUAUAUACAUUAUAAUAAUGAUUAUCUAUUUUUAUACAUAAUGGCUUUUGACUCUAUAUAUAUCUUUGCAUGUCAAUAUAUUUCUUUUAUUGUUCUAAUAUGUUUUAUAUACGUUUCACAUAGGAUUUAAGUUAUUUUGUAUCCAUUUAUAUUAGUACAUGUAUUUAAUUCAUACACAUUAUUAAGCAUGUAUAUACCUUAUCUAUGAAUUUGCAUGUACUUACUUUUAGACACAUGUAUUUAUAUAUUAAUAUGUUUAUUACCCUAAUAGACUUCUUAUUUUAAUAUACUUUUCGUUUUAUGAUUUAUUAAAUAUUCUCUAUAUAUAUGAAAUAAUUCUUGGAAACUUCUUUUUUGUAUACUUAUAAAAUUAUUAUUUUUGAGUGUAUGUAUAUAUUUUAUAUUGCUUUUGUGUUUUACAUAUAGCCUAUUAUCUAAAUAUUUUGAUAUAAGGGCAUAUAUAUAAUUUUUAGACUAUUUUAAAAUUUUAUAUACACCUUAUUAUUAAUCUCAUGUUCUUUUUUUAUAAUAAACUUGCAUGUACAUAUGUUUUUUUUUUGUUAUGUCCCUUCUUGUACCUUUAUUAUUCUUUUGCAUUAUUAAAAUUAUCAUGUACUUUGUCAACUUUUAAAUAAAUUUGUGCUGAAAUCAUUUUACAUCCAAUUUAAUUCAAAUUUUCAUUUUCUAAUAUCUAUUUCAAUAAUUAUAUAUAUAUUCUUAUUUUUAUGCAAAUCUGUCAAUUCAUACAUUAGGUGUUUUGAAAUAUUCAUUCUACGAUAUAUAUAUUUUAAUGAUUGCAUGUGUCUAUUAAGCUUGACAUUAUUUUACAAUAAUCUUAUACCAUGUUGCUUCUUCGAAUUGCAUUCUAUUUUAUGCCUCUAAUAAUUUUAUUAUGUCAUGUAUGCCGUCAUUGCAUUUUAUUCAUUAUUGCCAUGAUUAAUUGUUCUCCGUACAUAAUUGAGGUUGAGUCAUAUUUUCAAGCUAAUUGUAUUUAAUUGCUCAUUUUCUUGGUUGAUCGAUAUUCUCAUUCAUCAAGUAUGGUAUCUCAUAUGCACCUAUUAUCCCAUCUCAUCGUUUUCAUUUGGUUUUUCGAAAUGUGGUUUUAUAAAAUCCAAUUUCUACGACUAAUGUCAUCUUAUUUCAAAUCGAAUUAAUAUAUUUUUAAGUAUUCAUCCAAAAAUUCUUCAAAAUGAAGGCGAAAUUUGAUGUUCGGCGAUUCGCGGAAUCGUGCCCUAACGUGUUGGGUUGCAAUUUCGUAUUUGCUCAGAAUAAUCGAAUUUCCCUUCGAAAUUUCAUUCAUACUUUUUAAAAUCCCUUAAAUGAAUAUGAGAUUUGAUGUUUGGCAAUUCGCGGAAUUGUGCCCUAACGUGUUGGGUUGCAAUUUCGCAUUUGUUCAAAAUAAUCGAAUAUCAUUUUAAAAUUUUGCUCGUGUCUCUUAAAAUCUCUAAAACGAAGGCGAUAUGUGAUAUUUGGCAAUUCGCGAGAUCGUGCCCUAACGUGUUGGGUAGCAAUUUCCCGAUUUUUUUAAAAUAAUCAAAUAUCCCUUCAAAAUUUCACUCGGCUUUUCUAAAAAUCUUUUAAAACGAAGGCAAUAUUCGGUGUUUGACGAUUCGGGAAUCAUGCUCUAUCGCGCUGGGUUGUGAUUUCUAGUUUAGUCAAAACAAUCGAAUAUUCCUUUAGGUUUUCAUUCGCUUUUUGAAAACAUUCUUAAAAAUGAAGACGAUGUUCAAUGUUUGGCGAUUUGAAAAUCGUGCCCUAUCGUGCUGGGUUGCGCUUUUUCAUUUGUCCAAAAUAAUCGAAUAUCUCCUCGGAAUUUCACACGUAUUUUAUAAGGUAAGGCAAUGGUCAAUGUUUGGAAAUUCGAGGAAUCGUACCCUACUGUGCUGGGUUUCGAUUUUUCAUUGGACUAAAUAAUUGAGCAUCCUUUUGUGAUUUUCAAAUUAUAAAUUUUUCGGACGUCGAAACAAAAAGAUUUUUGACAAUCAACUCGGGUUAUUCAACUUUUAUUAAAAGGAGCCACAUUCCGAAAAACAUUUUUUUUAGACAUAAGGAUAGUAUUUAAUUGAUUUGGUACCAAUUUUGAGCGUAGUGAGGGUGCUAAUCUUUCCUCAUGCGUAAUCGACUCCCGAGCCCAUUUUUCUAAAAUUUUCGUAGACCAGAGUCAUUGUUUUAGUAAAUCGCAAACCUUUUAUUAAAAUAACCAAAUUUUUAAGUGAUCCGAUCACACCUAAAACAAAAAGAUCGGUGGCGACUCCAUAUUUCUAUUUUCCAAAAAGUCGAUUCCCCUCAUUUUUUAAACCUAAAAUUUUUUAAAUCGAGGGAUGGUUUCAACAAUUAGCUUUAAAAUUUAAUAACAAAAUUUUGAAUUAAAUAAAAUAUAAAACCACUUAAAUGAAGACAAUAUACUGCUGAAGAAAAUAUCACCACUAAACUCCAAUAGUGCAAAAGGACAGAGGCUCAUCAUUAAAGGAGAAAAGGGAUGGUGGAAAGAUGUAGAAUGGGAGGAUGAAUCCACUCGAGCUGUUUUUCUCCCCUCGUUCAAACCUCAGUAAUCUAUGAAAUGUUAGAUAUUAAUUAAGGCUUAAAGCCAUUACUGUAUCAUAGCAUACCUCAGUUCUAAUUUACAUAUCUUUAAAUCACAUGUAAUUUAUAAUAAAAUGUUUGAAUCUGAGAGUAUAUCAUGUUGGUUUUCUCUAUUUUUCGUUUCUCCCAAAGAGCAGAGCUCAAAUAUUACCUUAUUUCAUUAUGAUGGUUUUGCUUCAAACUUACCUUUUCGAAAGGAGCUGAUGCAUUUAUGGAAGGACUUGAAGUCUUUGUGUCUUGUUGUAUAAUUCGACCAUGUAAAAUUUCACCUGAGUAAGAUAAAACAAAGGAAUUUUCUCAUCUAUAAAUCAAACUUAAAAUGGUAUUCACAUCUGUUAGUAGAUAACAUAAUUUCAUUCCCCUUCUUCAGACCACAUGCCAUAAGUCAGAAACAUAACCAUUAACAGGUUCCUCUGUCAAUCAAGUAGACUGCAUUUCUAUAUACAGACUUCAGGCUUCAUUUAUCAAUAAGUUAGAAGGAUUAUCAAAGAAAGGCUAAAAGACAAAGAAGGCAUGCAAAGAUUUAAUCACUUACAGCAAACUGGUUAGUUAAAUCCUGAUGCUUAUAUUUUUUGGACAUCUCUUCAAUUGGUUCUUUGCCUUCGGACUGCUGUUGUUGUUUCUGUUGGGGAUUUGGCACACUUUAACCAGAUGAAGUAAGAACUUCAAUCUGGACUUUAACAGCAGUGUAUUAUACCUAGAUAAAGAAUGAAGUAAAAAUGCUUGGAAUUCAAGCUUUGAGCUACUGCUAGAAAUGGAGAACAGAAUUUUGAAGGCAAAGAGAAGUGGAGCAAAUGGAAGUAAAAUCUGAUGAUUUCAUUCAAAAAAAAAACUUUGGCUCAAAGCCAUUACAUAUAUCAAUCAUUGACUGAUCAAAAAAUAAGAAAAAAACAAUGCUUACCUAAUACCACUAAUUACAUGGAAACUUGAUAAAAUAACUUGUACACUUGAACAAAGCUGGUAACCAGCUCUUUGACCAUCAAGUUACAUCAAGUUGUCAUCCAAACAUAAUUCAAAAUGAACUAAGUUACAAAAAAACAUUGUUAAAAAGAAACAAAAUGAAACUGAGGUGAAACAGUAGCAUUAACAUCUUCAGUUGCACGUACUUUAUCCGGACAACUUAUGUGCAUGAAUUCUUACGUGCAUGAAUUUGCAUGAGCUGCAUGGCCAUCUUUUCUGGUUCAAGAUGCAUACUUCACCCGGUAAUAAUACAACAGUUUGAUCUCUUUUCUUUUCUUUACAGCUACAUGCAUGGCUCGGGCUGCUUCUUGAAACUUUGGCUUCUUCACAUGCUGCAUGCAGGCCAAUUUCCAACAGUUUCCUUCACUCAGACUUAUACACCUAUUUCAUAAGUGACACAUUCAACAUACAUUUGUAUUAGCAGGUAAAAAGCACCAAGUCCCAACAUUACCUCUCAAUAUCUUCGACCAUGAUCAAGAUAACUGUAACCUUCAUCUUUUUUUCUAUGAAAACCAGCUUUAGUCAGCUCAUCUUCAUCACCAUCACUUUCAGCAGGUUUACUCAACUCAUCUUCAGUUGACAUUAUACUGCCAUGCUCUGCCUUUUCCACAGCCGAAGGAAAAUAUCAAUUGUAGAAUGCCCAAUGCUGAAGAAGCUCCCACUAAACUCUGAUACUGCAAAAGGACAAACGCUCAUCAUUUUAGAAGAUGAGUAGUAGUGAAAAAAUGUAGAAUGAGAAGAUGAAUCCACUCAAAUUGCUUUUCUCCUUUUUUUUAUACCUCUGUAAACUACAAAUGCUGUCUAUUUUGUUGUCAAAUAACGAUAGUUAUUCAAAUAACAAGUAGGAUUUUAUUGUCAUAUAUGUAUCAUUAAACAGAUGGUCUUAGAUUUUGUGGCCUUCGUCUUCCAAUGCUGUCUCUUGUGUUUCCUUUUCUGAUCAUUGUUUAAGUGGCAAUAAUGGUGCUUGUAUGAAUGCUAGUGAUUCAGUCCUAUCAGUAAGUGAGAAAAGCUUUUUUUGGAACUCUAGCUCCCGUUUGGAUAACAAAAAUGUCCAAGGCUGUAGGUGCUUUAGUUCUUUACUUCUCUUUAAAUUCCUAGAACAGGGAUUUCAUUUGCUGAUGAAUUGCUAGGAAGGUGGCAGAGUAAUGUUAGAUGUUACUACCUAACAUCUUACACAUGCUGCUAUUAGUAUUCCUUUUUCUUCUUUUGAUGGGAUCUUAGUCCUCCUCAACAUUGCAAGUUGCCAAUGAGGGGAGUGGUUUCCACACAAAAGACAAGAAUUCCCCUUCAUCUGUCAUAACACCUCAGCAUGCCAAAUUGGAAUUCAGACUUUAGAAUAAAAUUCAGGUUCUAAAAUUGCAGAUUCACUGGUUGAUUGCAAGUUGCCAAUGAGGGGAAUGGUUUCCACACAAAAGACAAAUCCUUUUAUCUGUCAUAAAUAUCAGCAUGCCAAAUUGGACAUACUGUCCACCCAUAAUGCCCUGCCCAAAGCUACCAAAGAAAGUGGAACCCUUGAAAGAGAAAGAGAGAUAUAGGUCCAACAUGGGAAUUCCUUUAUUGGAUCAUUCUACUAAAAUAUUCAUUCUAUUAACAAAAUUAUAAAAACUUCAAACUUUAUAAUAUUAUAACUUUUGGUUAUCAAAAUUUAUAAUUUUUUUAAAAUGUAAGUAUCAUAUUAAAAAAAUUAUCAAACUUAAAUAUUAAAUGAUAUAUUAAGCAUUUCAAUAAACAAACUUUGCAAACAUUUAUGUAAAAUUUUAAACAUCUUUGAUUAUUUUAUAUUUUAAUUAUUAUUUGGUACCAAAAUACAUGUGAACUUCCAACAGUUUGUCUUUUGUUUACCUGCGAAUUUUCUUUCUCUGUUUUUGUUUACCAAAAUAUUCUCAAUAUUUCAUAUAACUCCGUAAGCAUCUUUGAUUUAUUCCUUGCUUCUAUUUCCAGAAAUUGUUCAGCUCACUCUUCUGAAAUCAAAACCAGGUAUGGGUAAUAUCUUCUCAAUUUCACUUUCACUCGAUACCAUCAUUACCCGUUAUUGGGAUUCUGCUGUUGGAAAGGCUGCUUUUCUAUCCAAACUUGAAGAAAACCUCCACGCUUUAAAAAAUAAAGUGGAAGAAUUGAAGGCGAUAAGGACGUAUCUUAUGAGCAGGGUCAGGGUCGCUGAAGAUGAGCAGCAACUUAGGCGGCUACCCCAAGUUGAUCUUUGGCUUCAGAGGGCUAAUCGUGUGAUAGCCGAUGCCGAUCAACUGAUUGUCCAAAGUCCUCAGCAAGUUGAAAAGCUAUGUAUGGGAGGUUGUUGUUCCAGGCAUCCCAGGUCCACCCACAAGUUCGGGAAGCAAAUCGCCACAAUACUCCAAGAGGUGAAAGACAUGAAGGAGAAAGGAGAUUUCAGUGAUGUGGCCUGCAAGCCACCAAUUCCUUCCGCAAAUAAACGACCUUCUGAGCCAACUGUGGGUUUAGAGUCCUAUGUCGAUCAGGUUUGGAGCUAUAUUCAAAACUGUUGAAAGCUGGACUGCAAUGCAACAUGGAGCCAAAAGCUUGCUACUGUCAAGACCAGCAGCUAUCGAGCUUAGCUCAUUUUGCUUGGUGCGCACGAAUGGUUUUUGAACCGAAUGAAGCAACCAACUUUGCUGCUUUGUUUUGAUGUAAUUUGGUUCAGUUCAACUUUAGUUUGUUUGUAAUGCUAGUUAAACUUAAGUUAGUGACAAGAUCUUUUGAUGUAAUGGCUGAUUGGUCAGCUAUGUUUGAUUAUUUUUUGGCUAGUGAUUAGGUUUGUAUUAGUUGGGGCAGUUAAAUACAUUAGGUAACUGUCAAUGUAUAAUGUAACUCUUUUAUAUAUUUCAAGUUGAAUGAAAAAUGUUCAUGUUCAGUCACAACAUUGCUGAGUAUUUUGAUUUUUUUGACCAAAUUUUUGCUUUGCUUUGCCUCGAUUCUUCUUGCUUCAGUCUUGCAAACACUGUGUUGCAACUUUGUUUUGAUGUUUGCUGCUGCCAUUGUUCCAACAAAUGGUAUCAUGAGCCCGAGUCUUUGAGGGGCCUUUGUAUGCAAUCUGUUGUGUUCGAAUCAAAACCAACAGCAAGUUCAAAAUUUGGUAAGGUCGAAGCAUUUGGAUUCAGUCUAGCAGAAUAAGUUUCACUCCACCACCUCCACCAGUGUUCACUGGAGAAAACUAUCACAUUUGGAUAGUUAAAAUGAAGACUUAUCUCCAGGCACAUGAUCUUUGGAGUGUGAUCGAGAAUGAUGCUGAACCACCUCCAUUGAGAGCCAAUCCCACCAUUGCACAGAUGAGGCAACAUACUGAGGAGCGAGCCAAGAAGCAUAAGGCUAUGGCCUGCUUGCAAAAUGGAGUCUCUGAUGUGAUAUUUACUCGCAUCAUGGCCUGUGACUCACCAAAGCAGGCUUGGGAGAAGCUGAAGGAGGAGUUCAUGGGGACUGAUAAGACAAGGCAACAGCAAGUGAUCAACCUCGGGAGAGACUUUGAAAAUUUGAGGAUGAAGGAGUCUGAGACCAUCAAGCAAUACUCAGACAGGAUAAUGGCCAUUGUCAACAGCAUUAGGCUCCUCGGAGUGGACUUCACAGAGAGCAGAGUUGUUGAAAAGGUUAUUACAACUCUCCCUGAGAAAUUUGAGUCUAAAAUCUCUUCACUUGAGGACUCGAGGGACUUAUCAGCCAUUUCUUUGUCUGAGCUGAUAAACUCCCUGUAUGCACUUGAGCAAAGGAGGGCAAAUAGGCAGGAGGAGAAUCCUGAAGCUGCCUUCCAGGCUAAAGCCAGUGAAGGCUCGAGUGUGAGUGCAAAAGGCAAGAAGCCUUGGCACAAUAGAAGGGUCAAGUCAGGAAGAGAUGAAGCAAAAAGGGUGUUCCCACCAUGUUUUCAUUGCAAGAAGACAACACAUUCAGAAAAGUAUUGCUGGUUUAGGCCAGAUAUUCAGUGUAAAAAAUGCAAGCAGUUUGGCCAUGUGGAGAAGGUGUGCAAGGGCAAACCAAGGGAGGCUGCUCUGCAACAAGCUAGACCUGCUGAGGACAUUCAAGCUCAGGAGGAGCAAGUGUUCACAGCAACUUGUUUUGUUGGCACAACCAAGGCCAGCAAUGAUUGGCUACUAGACAGUGGCUGCUCACACCAUAUGGCAGCAGAUGAGAAGCUGUUCAAAAGCCUAGACAGAAGCUUCCACUCGAGGAUUAGAAUUGGAGAUGGUAGGCUGAUUGAGGCUAAAGGCAAGGGCAGUGUGUUGAUUAGCACUGGUUCAGGAAACAAGCUGAUCUCAGAUGUGUUUUUUGUACCUGACUUAGACCAGAAUUUGCUUAGUGUAGGCCAAUUAGUUGAAAAGGGCUAUACAUUGGUUUUUAAGGAUGGUUGCUGUAUUGUUCAAGACAUGAAUGGUCUGGAGUUAGUCACAGUCUCUAUGACUGAUAGGUGCUUCAUGCUGGAUGUUAGCCAAAUAGAAAGAAAGGCAUACACCAGCCUUGUUGAAAGCACUGACUUGUGGCAUAGGAGACUAGGUCAUGCAAAUUUUAGAUCCAUCGAUCUAUUACAUAGGCUGAAUCUGGUUGAUGACAUUUCAAAAAUUGAAGCUAGUGGGAAUGUUUGUGAGGUUUGUCAGCUUGGUAAGCAGGCUAGACUGCCUUUUCAUGCUGACAGUGCUUGGAGAGCUCAAGACAAGCUCGAAUUGGUGCACUUUGAUGUUUGUGGCCCUAUGAGAACACCUUCAAUCAGUGAAAACAGGUACUUUGCCUUGUUUAUAGAUGAUUUAACAAGGUUGUGCUGGGUCUACUUCUUGAAGCAAAAGUCAGAAGUGUUUGAAGCCUUCUGCAAAUUCAAGGCUUAUGCUGAAAAUCAGUCAGGCUGCAAAAUUAGAGCCUUGAGGACUGAUAAUGGAUCUGAAUAUGUGUCUGAGAGAUUUCAGAAGCUUUGUGACAGUGCUGGGAUUCACCAUCAGCUCACAACAGUCUAUACUCCUCAACAGAAUGGAGUCUGUGAGAGAAAGAAUAGGACUGUACUGAACAUGGCCAGGUGCCUCUUGUUUCAAGGCAAGCUUCCAAGUCAGUUUUGGGCUGAGGCAGUCAACACCUCAGUGUAUCUGCUCAACAGACUGCCAACUAGAGCAGUCAAGGAUAAGACUCCUUUUGAGGCUUGGCAUGGAGUCAAACCUGUGGUAACACACUUAAAAGUGUUUGGCUGUGUAUGUUAUGCACUUAUUCCAGUAGAGAAAAGGACCAAGCUUGAGAGCAGAGCAACUCCAGGAAUCUUUGUUGGCUACAGCAGCAACAAGAAGGGCUAUAGAGUGUAUGAUCCUACAGCAAAGAAGGUUUUAGUCAGCAGGGAUGUUAAGUUUGAUGAGGAAAAGGUGUGGAAUUGGAAUGGUGUUGUGGCUGACUUGUCUGAAUUGGACCAGUUAGACUUGGUUGCUGAACCUGCAGAAGAAGGACCAAGUAAUGAUGCUGUCGAUGAUAUACCAGUGAGGGGCACCAGAACUUUGGUUGAUGUUUAUCAGAGGUGCAAUGUUGCUGUGAUUGAGCCCUCAGACUUUGAAGAGGCUGCUAAAAACAGAAGCUGGAUGAAAGCUAUGGAAGCUGAGUUGGAAAUGAUCAACAAAAAUCAGACUUGGGAGUUGGUGAGCAGACCAGAACACAAGAGGGUCAUAGGAGUUAAAUGGGUGUAUCGGGCCAAGUACAAUGCUGAUGGCUCACUGAACAAGCACAAGGCCAGGCUUGUGGUGAAGGGCUACAGUCAGCAGUAUGGUGUUGACUACCUAGAAACUUUUGCUCCAGUGGCAAGACUGGAUACAAUUAAGCUGCUGUUUGCUUUAGCAGCUCAGAAGCAGUGGAGAGUUCACCAAUUGGAUGUCAAAUCAGCAUUCCUGAAUGGUUUUCUCAAGGAGGAGAUCUUCAUCGAGCAACCUAAAGGUUUUGAAGUUGUUGGACAUGAAGACAAAGUGUAUAAGUUGAGAAAGGCCCUCUAUGGCCUGAAACAGGCACCAAGGGCCUAGUAUGACAGAGUUGAUGCCUAUUUGACCAAACUUGGAUUUGUAAAGAGCCUUAGUGAGCCUACUCUAUAUGUUAAAAGGUCAGAACAUGAAACCUUGCUGAUAGUCUCCUUGUAUAUGGAUGAUUUGCUUGUGACAGGGAGCAAAAUCGAGCUCAUUGAUCAGUUCAAGGUCCAAAUGCAGCAAGUGUUUGAGAUGACAGAUUUGGGGAUCAUGACUUACUUCCUUGGCAUGGAAGUGCACCAAUCUGAUCGAGGUAUCUUCAUCAGCCAACACUCAUUUGCUUUGAAGAUCCUAGACAAAUUUUGCAUGCAUAACUGUAAAGCAGUCAGCACACCUGUGGCUCAAGGAGAAAAGUUGACUAGCAGUGGUGAUCAGCAGAGGGUUGAUGAGAGGCACUAUCGAAGCCUAGUUGGUUGUCUGUUGUAUCUAACAGCAACCAGGCCAGAUAUCAUGUUUGGUGUCAGCCUGUUAUCGAGAUUUAUGCAUUGUUGCAAUGAGGCACAUUUGAAGGCAGCAAAGAGGAUCCUUAGAUAUAUCAAGGGCACUGCUAGUUUUGGUGUAAUGUUUGAAAGUCAGAACCAACUGAAACUAGAAGGCUACUCUGACAGCGACUGGGCAGGAUCUCUCGAUGACAUGAAGAGUACCUCUGGAUACUUCUUCACACUUGGAUCGGGCAUGUUUUGCUGGAGUUCUAAGAAGCAACAAAUUGUUGCUCAGUCCACAGCUGAAGCAGAGUACAUUGCUGCAGCAGGAGCAGUUAAUCAGGCCAUUUGGCUAAGAAAGCUGCUUUAUGAUCUUAAUGAAACACAAGAUGAAGCAACUGAAAUCUGGGUGGACAAUCAGUCUGCAGUUGCAAUAGCCAAGAACCCUGUGUUCCAUGGCAAGACUAAGCAUUUCAAGAUCAAAUUGCAUUUUGUUAGAGAGGCUGAACAAGCAAAGGAAGUCAGCCUUGUGCAUUGCAGCUCAGGAGCACAAUUGGCUGACAUAAUGACCAAGCCCUUAGGGGCUGCUCGAUUUGAAUCUUUGAGAAGUGCAAUUGGAAUGUGUUGCAUACAGUCCAAGGAGGAGUGUUGAAAGCUGGACUGCAAUGCAACAUGGAGCCAAAAGCUUGCUACUGUCAAGACCAGCAGCUAUCGAGCUUAGCUCAUUUUGCUUGGUGCGCACGAAUGGUUUUUGAACCGAAUGAAGCAACCAACUUUGCUGCUUUGUUUUGAUGUAAUUUGGUUCAGUUCAACUUUAGUUUGUUUGUAAUGCUAGUUAAACUUAAGUUAGUGACAAGAUCUUUUGAUGUAAUGGCUGAUUGGUCAGCUAUGUUUGAUUAUUUUUUGGCUAGUGAUUAGGUUUGUAUUAGUUGGGGCAGUUAAAUACAUUAGGUAACUGUCAAUGUAUAAUGUAACUCUUUUAUAUAUUUCAAGUUGAAUGAAAAAUGUUCAUGUUCAGUCACAACAUUGCUGAGUAUUUUGAUUUUUUUGACCAAAUUUUUGCUUUGCUUUGCCUCGAUUCUUCUUGCUUCAGUCUUGCAAACACUGUGUUGCAACUUUGUUUUAAUGUUUGCUGCUGCCAUUGUUCCAACAAAAACGAACUAGUGGGAAUCAGUGGCAUAUAUGGCUUAGGAGGGGUUGGCAAGACAACCCUCCUAAACCAAAUCAAUAACAAAUUCCAUGAUACUACCCAUGAUUACCUUGUCAUUUGGGCAGUUGCAUCGCAAGAUCGGCCAAUUGAGAAAGUCCAGGAUGAGAUUGCCAAAAGAAUAGGCCUUUCCAAUGAACGUUGGAAAUCUAAGAGCCUUGAUGAGAAAGCUGGAGACAUAUGCAGCAGAUUAUAUAAUAGGAGGUUUGCAUUGUUGUUGGAUGAUAUAUGGGAAUGGUUUGAUCUCACAAGAGCUGGGAUACCUAUUCCAACACUGGACAAUGACUGUAAAGUCAUUUUCACAACUCGUCGUCUUGACGUGUGCUGUCAAAUGCAACCGAACAUGGAUAAUAAUAUCAGAGUGGCAUGUUUACCAUCAGGAGAAGCUUUCAAACUGUUCGAGGAGAAGGUUGGGUCAGAAACCCUUCAAAUGCAUCCGGAUAUUCACAACAUAGCUGAAGCGGUGGUUGAAGAGUGUGCAGGACUACCUCUCGCUCUCAUUACAAUUGGGCGAGCCAUGGCAUCCAAGAAGACCUCUCGAGAAUGGGAAUAUGCUAUUGAAGUUUUAAGGCAAUCAGCAGCCUCUGUGUUCCCAGGGGUAGGGAAAGAGAUGUAUCUCAAGUUAAAAUUCAGUUAUGACUGUUUACCUGAUGAAAGGUUGAGAUCUUGUUUCUUGUAUUGUUCUUUAUAUCCAGAAGAUCAUCUCAUCGAAAAAGAUGAACUAGUAGAUUGUUAGAUCGGGGAAGGACUUUUGGACGAGCAUACAAAUUUGAGCAGUGCCAGAAACCAGGGACAUUUCAUUAUAGGUUCUCUUAUUGACGCAUGCUUAUUGGAGAAAGAAGAUAAUCACCGUGUAAAGAUGCACGAUGUGAUUCGCGACAUGGCUUUGUGGAUUGCUGGUGAAUCUGAGAAGAAGAAUUUUUUUGUAAAAUCAGGUGUUCAGUUAAAGGAGCAACCAAAAGCUAAAAAGUGGGAAGAGGUAACAAGAAUGUCACUGAUGGAUAAUCAAAUUAAAAAUCUAACUGAAAUAUUGGAAUGUCCCAAUCUCCAAACUUUGUUUCUUGGCAGCAAUGAUUUGAAGGUAAUCAUGGAUGAUUUCUUUAAUUUCAUGCCGAUGCUAAGGGUUCUGGAUUUGUCCCAUAAUAUGAAGUUGGAAGAAUUGCCAGUAGGAAUUGCAAAGUUGGUUUCACUGGAACAUCUCAAUCUGUCAUUUACAGGAAUAAGAAAGUUGCCAGUCGAAUUGAAGACCCUAGCAAAGCUGAAAUAUUUGAAUCUGGAGUGGACACCGUAUCUAGAAAUGAUCCCACAACAAUUGAUAUCCAGUUUCUCCAAGUUGCAAGUCCUGAAAAUGGAGGGAUGUAGCUAUGGAUGUUUAUUGGUUUUAAAGGAAAUGGAGCAUUUAAAAUAUUUGAAUGUGUUGACCAUUAGUUUUAGAAGCGCUUCGGAGUUGGAAAGAGCUUCGAGGUUCAACAAGUCCUUUAGCUGUGCCAUUGAAGCUGUAAGUCUAGUAAAUUUUAGACAUUCAAGAUCAUUGACUAUUAUGGCUUUAGCAAAUCUGCAGCAUCUAUGUACUUUAACACUCUCGAGGUGUAUGGAUCUAGAGAAAGUGAAGAUCGAACGUAACAUAAUUAAAGGUGUAGGAUGCUUCCAUAGCCUUCGAUCUGUAAUCCUAGACGAAUGCAAUCAUUUGAGGGAUGUGAGUUGGGUAACCUUGGCUCCACAUUUGGAAGUACUAAGGAUAACUGAAUACAAUGGUUUAGAAGAAAUCAUCAGUGAAGAAAAACUUGGUGAAGUCGCUGAGCUAAAAGAAAAUUCAAACUUAUUUUCUAAGCUCGAGAUUUUGUGUCUACAUAAUCUGGCCAAACUAAAGACUAUAUACCAUCAUGCUCUGCCUUUCCCACAGCUGAAGAAAAUCAUAAUAGUAAAAUGCGGAAUGUUGAAGAAGCUCCCACUAAACUCCAAUAGUACAAAAGGACAGAGACUAGUCAUUGAAGGAGAGGAGGGAUGGUGGAAAAAUGUAGAAUGGAAGGAUGAAUCCACUCGAAUUGCUUUUCUCCCUUCUUUCAAACCUCAUGUAUUCUAAGAAAUGUUGGAUAUUAAUUAAGGCUUAAAGCCUUGAUUGUAUCAUAACAUACCUCAUUGUAAGUUCUAUUUUGCCUAUCCUUAGAUUACAUGUAGCUUGGUUCUGUGUUUUACACACAGACUUUUUUUCUUUAGUAUGAAUUUGAAAAUAUAUUAUGUUAAUGAAUUAAAAUUUGAAAUAUAACUUUCAACAUAUCACAUCAUUUUCUUUUAAUUUUAUAACUAAAAAUUUCCAUAAUUAUAGUAAAAUUAAAAUUUUUCUUAUAAAAGUUGUUUUAGUUUGUAUUUCUGUAUAAAUUUGGAAUUUGGAAAUUUAAAAAAUUAAAAAUUUAAGUUUUAAUAAGUUAAUAAAAUAUAAUUUAUUUUCAUUUAUUAUACAUGUUAUCAAUAAAAAAAACUUAUUAAAUACUAAAUAUUUAGAAUUAUAUUAUAAUAAAAUAACGGUGACAUAAUAUAAUUUUUAAUAUUUUUAUAUUAAAACUCAUUAAUACAAAUUAUUAACAUUUUAGAAUUUUUUAUGAAUCUGAUAUCAUGCAAGUACAAAAAUUAACAUAUUUUUUAAUGAUGUUUCAAUGUUGAAAUAUGAUUAAAUGAUUAGAUUAGGGUGUUUCAAAUUUAAAUAUAUAUAAUAAAAAAAUUUAUUAUUAUACAACUUAUUGUGGCAACAACAAGAGGACAUGAGUUUGAGCACAAAUAAAUACAAAUUAUUCUUUUAUUCACACAUUUAAGAGUCUAUAAGUAGUAAUAGGAAAUGUAUAAAUUUUUUUAUUAUUUAUAUUGUUUUUUGCUUAAUAAUUUUCUUUAAAAGAAACUAACUUAUAGCAUUGUUUCGAUAUCAUAUAUGAGCCCGGCUUAAUCUGUAAAUAUCUUUACUCAAAUCUGAUUACUAAAAGUGAGAUUAUGUAUAUGAAUUCUCUAUAAUUAUAGACUCAUAAAUAAGUUAUUGCAAUUAAUACUCAAAUGGCAGUCUCUGAAUUUAAUAAGUUACAGCAAACUAAUUAGUUAAAUAUUUGAUGAGUAUAAUUAUUAGACAUCUCCUUCUCCUACUUCCUUUGCAUUUUGAAUUGAGCCCCUCUUGUAACACUAAAAUAACAUUAACAGGUAAAGAUUGUGUACAGAGGUAAGCAUACUAUACACAGUUUCAACUUGAUUUUGUAAUAUUUCCAUCAAAUAAUUUAUGCGUCAUAGUGUCAUAAUUAAGAGUGUAUGUCUACUUCUGCUGAUUCUCUUGUGUGGUGUGCUGAUAAUUUUGGGAAAUACUCGGUACUAGAUGGGUAUAAGCUGAUGAAAAAGUGAAAUCUUGUUUGUAUAUUGUUCUUUAUAUCCAGAAGAUGAUCUCUUUAAAAAAGAUGCAUUAAUACAUUGUAGGUAAUUAGUAAAUCAUGAAAAAAGUUAACACUGUAAUUUUUUAGUACUAAAAUCAUGAGAAAAAAUCGAAUACUAAAUGAUAUAUUAAAUCUUUAAAUAAAUAUUUACUUUAAAAUUUUAGAAACAAAAUUUUUUAAUUAAAUAAAAUAUAAAACCACUUAAAUUUAAUACAAUAUAUAAUUAUUUUUAUUAUUUUAAAUACUUUUUUAUAUAGUUUUUUUUAAUUUAAAACAAUUCUGGAAAAAAACUAUUUUUUUUCUGAAAACAUAUUUAUAAAUAUAAAUCUUUUUAAAAGAUUUAAAAAUAUAGUAUUUUAAUUAUAAUUGGUAAUAAUUUUAAAUCUUCGUACAUUUUUUAAUCAACAAAUUGUGAUAUAUUUUUAUCAUAUUUUUUAAUCAACAAAUUGUGCCCAUUUAUUUUAAAUUUUAAAUUAAUAAUUUAACUAUGUUUCAAAUAGAUAAUGUGUUGAAUUAAAAUAUGAAUAUUAAAGUUGAGUGGCACUCCACAAUAUUCACUACUACAUUUACUUACCACAACCUCAAUUAUUGCCCAUGUUGGAAGAGGACAGCAACUGUCCCUGAAAACUAUCUGACCAAAAUUUUCAUCCCCACAAUUAGGAUAUGCAAUUAGUUAUGGUUUAAUCAUAACAUCAAGCUCAUGAGCGAAAAUCCUCAUAUCUUUUUUAUUUUGUCUAUAGUGCUCAACUUACCUCCUCUGCAUUUUGAAUCUAGACACCUGCUUUGAAGGUUGAGAACCAGAUGAUUGCAGAGGGCAUUAAUUUUGCAAUAAGUUGGUGGCUGUACUACUUAAUAAUUACAUACUCACAAAGAUGUGUAAGCACAAUUUUUUAUAUGGAUUCCAUGUCUUUAAUUGGAUUAUGAUAACCCCUGAAAGAAUUUCUGAAUUCUUCCAUUGGCAUAUAUGGUCAUGAAUUCAGUUACCUUGAUCUUCCACUGUUUUCUGUUUUUUGCUGAUGUUUGUUUAAGUGGCAACGAUAGUGCUUGUGAAUAUCUCAUACAUGAAUGCUGUGGGAAGCUAAUGCAGGGCAAAGCAAGUUGUGAGUUUCUACCCAACAUGCUCAUCUUAGUCUUUCUUCUCUGAUGGGAUCUUAAUAAUUGAGGUUCCUUUAUCUUUGUUGAAGUGGAACCCUUUAAAGAAAGAGGCAGCUCCCAACUUGCCUGAUUUUGAUAAUGGACUAACUUUACACCUAAUAUGAAUAAAUUAAAAUAUGUUGUAUUAAUGUUGCUCAAGUUGUAAAAUAGAAUAAUAAAUUGCAUAUGGUAUCCACUGCACACAAAAGAUGCCUUACAAUGGGCCCAUUGUGUCAAAACCAAAUAAAGUGAGAUAAAAGAGAGCUGUGUGCAAUACAAGUCUUCCCACCAAGUCAAUGAUUUUACACACUUUACUGUAAUUAUCAUCAUAUUCACUAUCUCUUUUUUUUUUUUGGUAUCAAAAUGCAUGUGAACUUCCAACAGUUUGUCUUUGUUUUUCUCCUCUUUGUAGUCUCAAACUUUCAUAGAACUCCGUAAGCAUCUUUGAUUUAUUCCUUGCUUCUAUUUCCAGAUUGUUGAACUCACUCUUCUACAAUCAAAACCAGGUAUGGGUAAUAUCUUCUCAAUCUCACUUUCACUCGAUCCCAUCAUUACCCGUUGCUCGGAUUGUGCGACUGGACAGGCAAGUUAUAUAUGCAACCUCGAAGAUAACCUCCAUGCUUUACAAACUGAAGUAGCAGGACUGAAGGAGCUCAGGAGUGAUCUGAUGAGCAGGGUCAGAAUUGCUGAAGAUGAGCAGCGGCUUAAGCGGCUAAACCAAGUUGAGGGUUGGCUUUCGAGGGCUGAAACUCUGAUAAACGAUGCUGAUCAACUGAUUUUCCAAAGUUCUCAGCAUGUUGAUAAUCUAUGUAUGGGAGGUUGUUGCUCCACUCAUCCUAGGUCCAGCAUCAAGUUCGGGAAGCAAAUUGCCAAAAAACUCCAAGAGGUGAAAGACCAGAAGGAGAAUGGAGAUUUCAGUGAUGUGGCCAGCAAGCCACCACCUCCUUCAUCAACUGAAAGACCUAGUGAGCCAACUGUGGGUUUAGAGUUCUAUUUGAACAAGGUUUGGAGCUGUCUUCAAAAGGAACAAGUGGGAAUUAUUGGCAUAUAUGGCUUAGGAGGGGUUGGCAAGACAACCCUCCUAAACCAAAUCAAUAACAAAUUCCAUGAUACUACCCAUGAUUACCAUGUCAUUUGGGCAGUUGCAUCGCAAGAUCUGCCAAUUGAGAGAGUCCAGGAGCAGAUUGCCGAAAGAAUAGGCAUUUCUAAUAAUGGUUGGAAAUCUAUUGAUGAGAAAGCCGCGGACAUCUUCAACGUCUUACGUAAAAAGAAGUUUGCAUUGUUGUUAGAUGAUAUAUGGGAACGGUUUGAUCUCACAAGAGCUGGGGUACCUCUUCCAACACAAGGAAAUGGCUCUAAAGUCAUUUUCACAACUCGUCGUGUUGACGUGUGCUGUCAAAUGCAACCGAACAUGGAUAAUAAUAUCGGAGUGGAAUGUUUACCACCAGGAGAAGCUUUCAAACUAUUCGAGAAGAAGGUUGGAUCAGAAACCCUUCGAAUGCAUCCAGAUAUUUGCAAGUUAGCUGAAGCGGUGGUUGAAGAGUGUGCAGGACUACCUCUCGCUCUCAUUACAAUUGGGCGAGCCAUGGCAUCCAAGAAGACCCUUCGAGAAUGGGAAUAUGCCAUAGAAGUUUUAAGGCAAUCAGCAGCUUCUGUGUUGCCAGGGGUAGGGAAAGAGAUGUAUCCCAAGUUAAAAUUCAGUUAUGACUGUUUACCUGAUGAAAGGUUCAGAUCUUCUUUCUUGUAUUGUUCUUUAUAUCCAGAAGAUUAUUUCAUUGACAAAGACAAACUAGUAGAUUUUUGGAUCGGGGAAGGAUUUUUGGACGAGCAUACCAAUUUGAGCAGUGCCAGAAACCAGGGACAUUUCAUUAUAGGUUCUCUUAUUGACGCAUGCUUAUUGGAGAAACAAGGUAAUCAUCGUAUAAAGAUGCACGAUGUGAUUCGCGACAUGGCUUUGUGGAUUGCUGGUGAAUCUGAGAAGGAGAAGUUUUUUGUAAAAUCAGGUGUUCAGUUAAAGGAACAACCGAAAGCUAAAAAGUGGGAAGAGGUAACAAGAAUGUCGCUGAUGAGUAAUCAAAUUGAAAAUCUAACUGAGAUACUGGAAUGUCCCAAACUCCAAACUUUGUUUCUUGGCAGCAAUGAUUUGAAGGUAAUCAUGGAUGAUUUCUUUAAUUCUAUGCCGAUGCUAAGGGUUCUAGACUUGUCCUCCAAUUGGAAUUUGGAAGAAUUGCCGGUUGGAAUUGCAAAGUUGGUUUCACUAGAACAUCUCAAUUUGUCAGGUACAGGAAUAAGAAAGUUGCCAGUCGAAUUGAAGGCCCUAGCAAAGCUGAAAUAUUUGAAUCUGGAGUGGACACGCGAUCUAGAAAUGAUCCCACAACAAUUGAUAUCCAGUUUUUCCAAGUUGCAAGUACUGAAAAUGGUGAGAUGUGGCUAUGGAUGUUUAUUGGUUUUGGAGGAAAUGGAGCAUUUAAAACAUUUGAAUGUGUUGACCAUUACUUUUAGAAGCGCUUCGGAGUUGGAAAAAGCUUCGAGGUUCAACAAGUUCUUUAGCUGUGCCAUUGAAGUUGUAAGCCUUGAAGAUUUCAGAGAUUCAAGAUCAUUGACUAUUAUGGCUUUAGCAAAACUGCAGCAUCUAUGUACUUUAACACUCUCGAGGUGUUGGGAUCUAGAGGAAGUGAAGAUCGAACGUAACAUAACUGAAGGUGCAGGAUGCUUCCAUAGCCUUCGAACUGUAAUCCUAGACGAAUGCAAUCAUUUGAGGGAUGUGAGUUGGGUAACUUUUGCUCCACAUUUGGAAGAACUAUAUAUAUUGGAUUGCAAAGGUUUAGAAGAAAUCAUCAGUGAAGAAAAACUUGGUGAAGUCGCUGAGCUAAAAGGAAAUUCAAACUUGUUUUCUAAGCUAGAGAUUUUGCAUCUAUGGGGUUUACCCAAACUAAAGACUAUAUACCAGCAUGCUUUGCCUUUCCCACAGCUGAAGGAAAUAUACAUUAGACGAUGCCCAAUGUUAAAGAAGCUCCCACUAAACUCCAAUAGUGCAAAAGGACAGAGGCUGGUCAUUUUUGGAGAGGAGGGAUGUUGGAAAGAUGUAGAAUGGGAGGAUGAAUCCACUAAAAUUGCUUUUCUCCCCUCUUUCAGACCUUUUUAAUCUAAAAAAAGUUAGAAAUUAAGUCUUAAAACUAUUAUUGUAUCAUAACAUGUGUCAUUACAAGUUCUAUUUUGUUUAUCCCUAAAUUACAUGUAGUUUGAUUUUGUAUUUUACACUAAGACUUUUUCUUUAUAAAAGUAAAAUGUUUGAGUUUGAGAAUAUAUUAUGUUAUAAAGUAUAACUCUCAACACAUCACUUCAUUUUCUUUUAAUUCUAUAACUAAAAUUUUUGAUAAUUAUAGUAAAAUUAAAAUUUUUCUAUUCUGUAUAUUUAAAAAUGAGAUAAUUUUUGUUAUAGGAAAGUAUACUAUAAAUAUGUUUAUUAUAAAUUAGGAAUUUUAAAAAGAGAAAAUUUAAGUUUAAAUAUAAUUUACUUUUAUUCAAAAUGCAUGUUAUCAUAAGAAGAGGUGUUUCAUAAGCAUAAUAUCAAUAAAUCAUGUAAAAUUAGAUACUAAAUAUUGGAAAUUAUAUUGAGUGACAUAAUAUAAAUGCUAGAAUAUUUCAAUAUUUGUAUAUUAAAAUUCAUUAAUACAAACUACUAACAUUUUAAAAUUUUUAUGAUUAUUGAAUGCUACUACCAAAAUUCACAUAUAAUUUUUUAAAAAAAAUUAUUAUUCAUAUCUAAUAUUUAAAUGAAUUGGUGAUAUUAUUAGUUUUAAAUAAUUUUCUUUAAAAGUAACCAACUUAAUAGUUUCAGCAACCAAAUUAUUAAAUAGAAAAUUAAAGACAAACUUAACUUUUGGAAAAAAGGGUGAGAAAAUUAACUCUUUUUCAUUUGAAAAAUCAAUAGCUAUUUAAUUGCUUAUUUAUAUUUAUCUUUUUAUCUUUUUAUUAUUAAUUUUAAAAAUAAAUAAAACUAGACUUCUUACAUAUAUCUAUUAAAAAUUUAAAUGUUUUAGUUAUAAUUGUUGAUCAUACAUAAUGUUCCAUCUUAAUAUCUCAUUAUAAACAAAAUUAGACUUAAAUAAGUUUAAAAUUAAUCAUUUACAAAUAUCAACAAGCAAAAACUUGUAAGAUUUGAGCACUGAAUUGAUCUAUGACUACUUAUACUCAAAGUGAGAUUGUGUGUAUGAAUUCUGUAGAAUCACAGUCUCAUAAACAAGUUAUAACAAGUAUAACUUUCGACAUAUCAUAUCAUUUUCUUUUAAUUUUAUAACUAAAAAUUUCCAUAACUAUAGUAAAAUUUAAAAUUUUUCUUAUAAAUGUUGUUUUAGUUUGUACUUUUGUAUAUUUAAAUAUGAGAUAAUUCUUUAUAGGAAAGAAAAAUGUGUUAAGUAUAAAUUUGUAAUUUGGAAUUUUAAAAAAUUAAAUAUUUAAGUUUUAAUAAGUUAAUAAAAUAUAAUUUAUUUUCAUUUAUUAAACAUGUUAUCAAUAAAAAAAAUUAUCAUGUAACAUUAGAUACUAAAUAUUGAGAAUUAUAUUAUAAUAAAAUAACAGUGACAUAAUAUAAAUUUCAAUAUUUUUAUAUUAAAACUCAUUAAUACAAAUUAUUAUCAUUUUAAAAUUGUUUAUGAAUCUGAGAUCAUGCAAGUACACAUAUUAACAUAUUUUUUAAUGAUGUUUCAAUGUUGAGAUAUGGUUAUAUGAUUAGAUUAGAUUAGAGUAUUUCAAAUUUAAAUAUAUAUAUAUAUAAUAAAAAAAUUGGGGGAGAAUUAAAUGUAUACCAACCUCUUAAUUUCAUCUCGUCUCAAGUUUUAACUUAAUUAAUAUUGCUAUCAUGUCAAGGAAAAAAAUAUAAGUUCAAGUACACUUAAACACGUAUUAUCCUUAACUAAAUGUUUUUAUUUUUUUAAAUAAUUUUUUUAAAAAGAAACCAACUUACUAUUUUUAUAAAUUUAACAAAGCAAUCAAAUUAUUAAAUAGAAAAUUAAAGAUAAACAGAAUUAUAGGAGCUUAAAUUUUGGAAAAAAAAUGUGAGAAAAUUAACUUUAUCCAUUAUUUAUUAAAAUUCACAUAAAAAAUCAAUUAAUAUUUUAGUCACAAUAAUAAAAUUAAUGGUUUAUCAUACAUAAAUAUCUCAGUAUGAUCAAAUAUAUUUAAAAGUAAAAGCAAACUUAAAUAAAUUUAAAAUUAACAGUUUACAAAUAUAAACAAACUUAAGCAAAAUUUACAAAAAAAAAAAAAAACAAGUCUGAGAAUAAUCCCACAAUUGAUAUCCAGUUUCUCUAAGUUGCAGGUACUGAAAAUGGAGGGGUGUUGCUAUCAAUGUUCAUUGGUUUUGGAGGAAAUGAAGCAUUUAAACUAUUUGAAUGUGUUGACCAUUACUUUUACAAGCACUUUGGAGUUAGAAAAAGACUUGGGGUUUCAACAAGUUCAUUAGCUGUGCCAUUGAACAUGUAAGCCUUUAAGGUUUUAGAGAUUCAAGGUCAUUGAAUAUUUUGGCUUUAGCAAAUCUGCAACCUUUAUAUAGCUUAGAAUUUUCGGGUUAUAUGGCUAUUGAAGAAGUGAAGAUCGAAAGUAACAUAAUUGAAGGUGUAGGAUGCUUCCAUAGCCUUCGAUCUGUAUACCUAUUCGAUUGCAAUCAAUUGAGGGAUGCGAGUAAUUGGAUAAUUUUUGCUCCACAUUUGGAACAACUAUUUAUACGUGAUUGCCAAGGUUUAGAAGAAAUAAUCAGUGAGGAAAAACUUAGUGAAGUCGCUGAGCUAAAAGGAAAUUCAAACUUGUUUUCUAAGCUAGAGUUUUUGCAUCUAAAUAAUCUGCCCACAAUGAAGACAAUAUACGGACAUGCUCUACUUUUUCCGCAGCUGAAGAGAAUCACAAUUUUAAAUUGCCCAAUGCUGAAGAAGUUCCCACUAAACUCCAAUAGUGCAAAAGGACGAAGGCUCGUCAUUGAAGGAGACGAGGGAUGGUGGAAAGAGGUAGAAUGGGAGGAUGAAUCUACUCAAAUUGCUUUUUUCCCCUCUUUCAAACAUCGGUAAUCUACUAAAUGUUGGAUUUUAAUUAAGGCUUAAAGCCCUUAUUGUAUCAUAACAUACCUCACUCUUAAGUUCUAUUUUGUCUAUCUUUAAAUUACAUGCAGAUUGGUUCUUUGUUUUACACAACUUUUUCCUUU
rnacentral:lncRNA from 1 species